UUUACGAGCACGCCAAAGUACACACGGGGCCUUGUUUUUUCAUAUCAUCCGAAUGACUAGACAGCUGGAAGGGGAAAGCACGUCGGAAAAUUCCGAUGAACUUUCUCGGCCAAUGCAGGGAUCAAACACGCGAAUUACAUGAACGGGAAUAACCGAUUAAAAUACUUUUAACCGAGCGUUUCUUUUACAGUUAAAAAGUAAAAUAGGGUUACCUUAUCACCCGAUUAAACAACCCGGAUACUCGAGCAAAUGACCUCUCUCUUCUCCCAAACCCGUCUGGAUGAUACGUUGGUUCUUCUUACUUCACACAGCACAUUUACACAAACAGAAGUUGGAGCAUGGAUCAGAUUAUUGAACUUAUAAUAUGGCUGGUUUGUAUUCUGAUAAUUAAUAUCCAAGGACAUGAAGCCAAUCCUUGUUCAGCGGAUCAAUAUUAUAACAGUGGAUUACGGGAAUGUUUUUAUUGUACUGAGCUUUGUUACAAAGCUGAAGCCAGAAAUCAAGUAUCAGAAUGUCAGGACAAGUGUCCAGGUUAUGUUGAGUCAUCAUCACCAUCAACAACUACGAGUAUAACCAGAUCAAAUGACACAGCCACCAAAUUAUCUCCUGACACCAGCCAUAUAUGGAUUAGAAUAGGACUGAUAAUAUCUGGAGCUGUUAUCUUUGUUGCUGUGAUUAUAAUACUACUGAUAUACUGGUGGAUCAAACGAUCACGUGACGGUGGUAAAGGACAACACGAAUUAUUAAAACAACGAAAUCCAGACCAAUUAGAUCAAGAAAAUCCAAAUAUACCGGGCUGCCCUCAACAAAACUGCCAGUCAAACAGACAACACGAAUUAUUAGAACAACGAAAUCUAGACCAAUUAGAUCAAGAAAAUUCAAAUAUACCGGGCUGCCCUCAACAAAACUGCCAGUCAAACAGUGGUAUUCAAGACACUCAACCACCGUCAAGUUCUAGAUUACUUAUAUCGUCGACUAGAGUUUGAUGAAGAAAACAGCAGCAUAAAGCAUUUUCGGAAAUAUUUUUUUUUUGAUAUUAAAUUACUUAUAGAAAUUUAUUUUUAUUUUGACUUUUAACUAGUUUAUUUAUGUUCUGCUUUAGUCUGAUAAAUUAAAGUUGUUUUUACAUAUUAUAUAUAUUGCCUCGAUAUAUUGUUAUAUCUAUA